GACCCCGUGGCGCAGUGGUUAGCGCUCCUGUUUUUGAAAUUGAUAACCCGGGCUCGAUUCCGACCGGUGCCA